UACGUAGGGUGCGAGCGUUAAUCGGAAUUACUGGGCGUAAAGCGCACGUAGGCGGGUUGUUAAGUCAGGGGUGAAAUCCUGGAGCUCAACUCCAGAACUGCCUUUGAUACUGGCAGGCUUGAGUGUGGCAGAGGGGGGUGGAAUUCCACGUGUAGCAGUGAAAUGCGUAGAGAUGUGGAGGAACACCGAUGGCGAAGGCAGCCCCCUGGGCUAACACUGACGCUCAUGCACGAAAGCGUGGGGAGCAAACAGG
rnacentral:rRNA from 1 species